GCUCAACCGAGGAAGUGCUUCGAAAACUGGUAAACUUGAGUGCAGAAGAGGAAAGUGGAACUCCAUGUGUAGCGGUGGAAUGCGUAGAUAUAUGGAAGAACACCAGUGGCGAAGGCGGCUUUCUGGUCUGUAACUGACGCUGAGAUUCGAAAGCAUGGGUAGCAAACAGGAUUAGAUACCCUGGUAGUCCAUGCCGUAAACGAUGAGUGCUAAGUGUUGGAGGGUUUCCGCCCUUCAGUGCUGCAGCUAACGCAUUAAGCACUCCGCCUGGGGAGUACGAUCGCAAGAUUGAAACUCAAAGGAAUUGACGGGGGCCCGCACAAGCGGUGGAGCAUGUGGUUUAAUUCGAAGCAACGCGAAGAACCUUACCAGGUCUUGACAUACCAUGAAAAGCUAAGAGAUUAGUCUUUCCCUUCGGGGACAUGGAUACAGGUGGUGCAUGGUUGUCGUCAGCUCGUGUCAUGAGAUGUUGGGUUAAGUCCCGCAACGAGCGCAACCCUUAUUAUCAGUUGCCAGCAUUAAGUUGGGCACUCUGGUGAGACUGCCGGUGACAAACCGGAGGAAGGUGGGGAUGACGUCAAAUCAUCAUGCCCCUUAUGACCUGGGCUACACACGUGCUACAUGGAUGGUACAACG
rnacentral:rRNA from 1 species